rnacentral:rRNA from 1 species
UGGGGAAUAUUGCACAAUGGGGGAAACCCUGAUGCAGCGACGCCGCGUGAGUGAAGAAGUAUUUCGGUAUGUAAAGCUCUAUCAGCAGGGAAGAGAAUGACGGUACCUGACUAAGAAGCCCCGGCUAACUACGUGCCAGCAGCCGCGGUAAUACGUAGGGGGCAAGCGUUAUCCGGAUUUACUGGGUGUAAAGGGAGCGUAGACGGCAUAGCAAGUCUGAAGUGAAAUACCCGGGCUCAACCUGGGAACUGCUUUGGAAACUGUUAAGCUGGAGUGCUGGAGAGGCAAGCGGAAUUCCUAGUGUAGCGGUGAAAUGUGUAGAUAUUAGGAGGAACACCAGUGGCGAAGGCGGCUUGCUGGACAGUAACUGACGUUGAGGCUCGAAAGCGUGGGGAGCAAACA